rnacentral:rRNA from 1 species
CAUGCAGUCGAACGGCAGCAUGGGCUUCGGCCUGAUGGCGAGUGGCGAACGGGUGAGUAAUGCGCCGGAACGUGUCCCGUAAUGGGGGAUAACGCAGCGAAAGCUGUGCUAAUACCGCAUACGCCCCGAGGGGGAAAGCAGGGGAUCUUAGGACCUUGCGUUAUGGGAGCGGCCGACGUCUGAUUAGCUAGUAGGUGGGGUAAAGGCCUACCUAGGCGAUGAUCAGUAGCUGGUCUGAGAGGAUGAUCAGCCACACUGGGACUGAGACACGGCCCAGACUCCUACGGGAGGCAGCAGUGGGGAAUUUUGGACAAUGGGCGCAAGCCUGAUCCAGCCAUUCCGCGUGAGUGAAGAAGGCCUUCGGGUUGUAAAGCUCUUUCGGCAGGGAAGAAAAGGUCUGGGUUAAUAACCUGGACUGCUGACGGUACCUGAAGAAGAAGCACCGGCUAACUACGUGCCAG